GAUGAACGCUAGCGGCAGGCUUAAUACAUGCAAGUCGAGGGGCAGCAUGAUUGUAGCAAUACAAUUGAUGGCGACCGGCAAACGGGUGAGGAACACGUACACAACCUACCAAUAAGUGGGGAAUAGCCAAGAGAAAUUUGGAUUAAUACCCCGUAACAUAACGAUGUGGCAUCACAUUGUUAUUAUAGAUUUUUCUCUUAUUGAUGGGUGUGCGGCUGAUUAGUUGGUUGGCGGGGUAACGGCCCACCAAGUCUACGAUCAGUAGCUGAUGUGAGAGCAGGCUCAUCAACACCGGAACUGAGACACGGGCCCGACGCCUACGGGAGGCAGCAGUAAGGAAUAUUGGCCAAUGGACGCAAGUCUGAUCCAGCCACGCCGCGUGAAGGAUUAAGGUCCUCUGGGUUGUAAACUUCUUUUAUAAGGGACGAAAAAAGGCUUUUCUAGGACGUCUGACUGUACCUUAUGAAUAAGCACCGGCUAACUCCGUGCCAGCCGCCACCGUAAUAC
rnacentral:rRNA from 1 species